rnacentral:lncRNA from 1 species
GAAAAUAGAAUAGGUUUAAGGAAAGAAAAAAGAGGCGUAAGAGAAAAAGAAAAGGAGAUAGAACGAGAAAGAAAAUGGUUGGUUUGGAAAGAAUAAAGUUUGCGAGAAACGAAAACAAAAAGGGGAAGAUGAACAAAAUCCUAACUUUACAGAAGCUAUUUGAUUUUUUUUUAUUUUUUUUUAAAUUCUUUGAGUGAAGCUU